GCCUUCGUGGUGUAGUGGUCAGCACGCUCGACGCGUAUUCGAGAGGUCCGUGGUUCGAGUCCCGGUAAGAGCA
rfam:Stegodyphus mimosarum contig114430, whole genome shotgun sequence.